rnacentral:rRNA from 1 species
GUCUACAGCCAUGCCACUCUGAACAAGCCCGAUGUCUGAUCUUGGAAGCUAAGCAGCGUCGGGCCUGGUUAGUGGUUGGAUGGGAGACCACCUAGGAAGACCAGGUGCUGUAGGCA